UACAAACAGCUUUUGUUCUAUAGCAUUUUGAAAUAUAACAGGUAUAUUGAAAAGUCUGAUUCAGUUACAAUCAGUGUAUGGAAUCACAAGAAGAUCCAUAAGAAACAAGGUGCUGGAUUUCUCCGUUGUGUUCAUCUUCUUUCCAGUGCCAUCAACCACCUCAAAGACACUGGUUAUCAGAGGUUGGAUUUAUGCAAACCUGGGCCAAAGGACAGUUAGAAGACGCCUCAUCUAGUUGAAUCUGAAGAUGUGGACCUGCUGAUGAAGAGGGCUGAUUGUAUCUAACUUAGGGUCUUGCAUGCAGCUGGCACUUAAUGCAUUUUAUUGACUGUUUUAGCUAACAUUCAAUGGACA
rnacentral:lncRNA from 1 species